rnacentral:rRNA from 1 species
AGUCGGACGGUAGCACAGGGGAGCUUGCUCUCCGGGUGACGAGUGCCGUGAAGGUGAGUAAUGUCUGGGAAACUGCCCGGUGGAGGGCCUUCUAAAAGGGAAACGGUAGCUAAUACCGCAUAACGUCUUCGGACCAAAGUGGGGGAUCUUCGGACCUCACGCCACCGGAUGCCCCAAGAUGGGAUUAGCUAGUAGGUGGGGUAACGGCUCACCUAGGCGACGAUCCCUAGCUGGUCUGAGAGGAUGACCAGCCACACUGGAACUGAGACACGGUCCAGACUCCUACGGGAGGCAGCAGUGGGGAAUAUUGCACAAUGGGCGCAAGCCUGAUGCAGCCAUGCCGCGUGUAUGAAGAAGGCCUUCGGGUUGUAAAGUACUUUCAGCGGGGAGGAAGGCGGUGAGGUUAAUAACCUUGCCGAUUGACGUUACCCGUUUAUGAAGCACCGGCUAACUCCGUGCCAGCAGCCGCGGUAAUACGGAGGGUGCAAGCGUUAAUCGGAAUUACUGGGCGUAAAGCGCACGCAGGCGGUCUGUUAAGUCAGAUGUGAAAUCCCCGGGCUUAACCUGGGAACUGCAUUUGAGACUGGCAGGCUUGAGUCUCGUAGAGGGGGGGUAGAAUUCCAGGUGUAGCGGUGAAAUGCGUAGAGAU